GAUGAAGAACGUAGCGAAAUGCGAUACUUGGUGUGAAUUGCAGAAUCCCGUGAACCAUCGAGUCUUUGAACGCAAGUUGCGCCCGAAGCCAUCAGGUUGAGGGCACGUCUGCCUGGGCGUCACAUAUCGUUGCCCAAUGCCUAUUGCAGUGCAAUAGGAAUUUCUAGGGCGAAUGAUGGCUUCCCGUGAGCGUUGUUGCCUCGCGGUUGGUUGAAAGUCGAGUCCUUGGUAGGGUGUGCCAUGGUAGAUGGUGGUCGAGUUAGAACGAUACCGAUCAUGUGCAUGCUCCCCAAAAUAUGGCCUCUAUGACCCACACGCGUCUUUUGACGCUCAUGACGAGACCUCAGGUCAGGCGGGGCUACCCGCUGAAUUUAAGCAUAUCAAUAAGCGGAGGA
rnacentral:misc_RNA from 1 species